rnacentral:rRNA from 1 species
UACGGAGGGUGCAAGCGUUAUCCGGAUUCACUGGGUUUAAAGGGUGCGUAGGAGGGCAGGUAAGUCCGUGGUGAAAUCUCUGAGCUUAACUCAGAAACUGCCGUGGAUACUACCGGUCUUGAAUAUCGUGGAGGUGAGCGGAAUAUGUCAUGUAGCGGUGAAAUGCUUAGAUAUGACAUAGAACACCGAUUGCGAAGGCAGCUGACUACAGGGAUAUUGACACUGAGGCACGAAAGCGUGGGGAUCAAACAGG